rnacentral:rRNA from 1 species
UAAGCAUGCGGGACAUUAGCUAGUUGGUAAGGUAACGGCUUACCAAGGCGACGAUGUCUAGGGGGUUUGAGAGGAUGAUCCCCCACACUGGUACUGAGACACGGACCAGACUCCUACGGGAGGCAGCAGUGAGGAAUAUUGGGGCAUGGGCGCAAGCCUGACCCAGCCAUGCCGCGUGCAGGAUGAAGGUCCUAUGGAUCGUAAACUGCUUUUGUAUGGGAAGAACUUCCCGCAUUCGUGCGGGAUUGACGGUACUAUACGAAUAAGGACCGGCUAACUCCGUGCCAGCAGCCGCGGUAAUACGGAGGGUCCAAGCGUUAUCCGGAUUCACUGGGUUUAAAGGGUGCGUAGGUGGAACGAUAAGUCGAUGGUGAAAGCCUACAGCUUAACUGUAGAAUUGCCAUUGAUACUGUUGUUCCUGAGUAUAGUCGGGGGAAGUGGAAUGCGUAAUGUAGCGGUGAAAUGCAUAGAUAUUACGCAGAACACCGAUCGCGAAAGCAGCUUCCUAGGCUAUUACUGACACUGAGGCACGAAAGCGUGGGGAGCGAACAGGAUUAGAUACCCUGGUAGUCCACGCCGUAAACGAUGCUCACUCGCUGUUGGCGAUAUAUUGUCAGCAGUUAAGCUAAAGCAUUAAGUGAGCCACCUGGGAAGUACGUCCGCAAGGAUGAAGCUCAAAGGAAUUGACGGGGGCCCGCACAACCGGUGGAACAUGUGGUUCAAUUCGAUGAUACGCGAGGAACCUUACCUGGGCUUAAAUGUAGUUUGACUUCCGCCGAAAGGCGGUUUUCCUUCGGGACAGAUUACAAGGUGCUGCACGGCUGUCGUCAGCUCGUGCCGUGAGGUAUCGGGUUAAGUCCCUUAACGAGCGCAACCCCUAUUGUUAGUUACCAACAGGUUAAGCUGGGGACUCUAGCAAAACUGCCAGCGUAAGCUGGAGGAAGGUGGGGAUGACGUCAAGUCAGCAUGGCCCUUAUGUCCAGGGCUACACACGU